rnacentral:rRNA from 1 species
GAAGUAAAAGUCGUAACAAGGUCUCCGUUGGUGAACCAGCGGAGGGAUCAUUACUGAGUUUACGCUCUACAACCCUUUGUGAACAUACCUACAACUGUUGCUUCGGCGGGUAGGGUCCCCGUGACCCUCCCGGCCUCCCGCCCCCCCGGGCGGGUCGGCGCCCGCCGGAGGAUAACCAAACUCUGAUUUAACGACGUUUCUUCUGAGUGGUACAAGCAAAUAAUCAAAACUUUUAACAACGGAUCUCUUGGUUCUGGCAUCGAUGAAGAACGCAGCGAAAUGCGAUAAGUAAUGUGAAUUGCAGAAUUCAGUGAAUCAUCGAAUCUUUGAACGCACAUUGCGCCCGCCAGCAUUCUGGCGGGCAUGCCUGUUCGAGCGUCAUUUCAACCCUCAAGCUCUGCUUGGUGUUGGGGCCCUACAGCUGAUGUAGGCCCUCAAAGGUAGUGGCGGACCCUCCCGGAGCCUCCUUUGCGUAGUAACUUUACGUCUCGCACUGGGAUCCGGAGGGACUCUUGCCGUAAAACCCCCCAAUUUUCCAAAGGUUGACCUCGGAUCAGGUAGGAAUACCCGCUGAACUUAAGCAUAUC